rnacentral:misc_RNA from 1 species
GAUGAAGAACGCAGUGAAAUGCGAUAAGUAAUGCGAAUUGCAGAAUUCCAGUGAGUCAUCGAAUCUUUGAACGCACAUUGCGCCCCCUGGUAUUCCGGGGGGCAUGCCUGUCCGAGCGUCAUUACAACCCUCAAGCUCAGCUUGGUGUUGGGCCCCGCCGCCCCGGCGGGCCCUAAAGUCAGUGGCGGUGCCGUCCGGCUCCGAGCGUAGUAAUUCUUCUCGCUCUGGAGGUCCGGUCGUGUGCUCGCCAGCAACCCCCAAUUUUUUUCAGGUUGACCUCGGAUCAGGUAGGGAUACCCGCUGAACUUAAGCAUAUCAAUAAGCGGAGGA